rnacentral:rRNA from 1 species
UUACGGGGUGCAGCAGGCGCGAAACCUUUACAAUGCACGAAAGUGUGAUAGGGGGAUACUCAGUGCUUACGCUUAUGGUGUAGGCUUUUGUCGAUCGUAAAUAGAUCGGCGAAUAAGUGGUGGGUAAGACUGGUGCCAGCCGCCGCGGUAACCCCAGCGCCACAAGUGGUUAUCACGAUUAUUGGGCCUAAAGCGUUCGUAGCUGGUUUGGUAAAUCUCUUGUGAAAUUGUUCGGCUUAACCGGACAGCGUGCAGGAGAGACUGCCAGACUCGAGACCGGGAGGGGUUAGAAGUAUGUCGUGGGGACUGGUAAAAUGGGAUAAUCCACGAUAGACUACCGAUGGCGAAGGCAUCUAACCAGAACGGAUCUGACAGUGAGGAACGAAAGCCAGGGGAACGAACCGGAUUAGAUACCCGAGUAGUCCUAGCCGUAAACAAUGCCUGCUAGGUGUGGCUCCCACUACGAGUGGGUGCUGUGCCGUAGGGAAGCCGCUAAGCAGGCCGCCUGGGAAGUACGUCCGCAAGGAUGAAACUUAAAGGAAUUGGCGGGGGAGCACAAUCACUAGUGAAUUC